rnacentral:lncRNA from 1 species
CCUUUAUUAAGUAAUGUGUUUAAACAUCGGUCGAAUAUAAAAAAAGAGAAUGAAAAUUUUUACUUUUUGAGAGAUUAAAUAUAUUCCAUCUUUUUAAAACGAACAUAUUCCAACAUUUCUUACGACGAAAUAGCCUCUUUUCUUCUUUCCGUUUUAGGUUUUUUUUUCUUUUUUUCUUCCAUUUUUUUUUCCUUUUUUAAUUUAAUAAUUUUUAAUCAUUUCAGCAACGCCGGAAUCUCUCUCAAAAAAAGGAUUGGAAAGAUUGGACUUCCUCCUCAACUACACCCAAACCCUCGGAGAUUUCAUAAUGGGUAAGGACCCAGAUAAGUUCGCCUAUGGCACUCUCGCCAAGAGAGUUCUGUCAAUAACGAUGGAGAUCGUCCAUUUAUUAAAUACCUUAUAUACAGCAAUUGGAGAAAGUGUUCCCGAAGACCUCGUCGACCUGGCCACCAUGGAGAAAGCCAUCAACACCUGCCAGCCUCGUUAUAAGUUACAAAUUUUAUAUUAUAUUUAAUUUUAACUUCAUUCCUGAAAAGAAUAAUGUUCCAAUUAAUAAAUUCCAUUACAUUAAUGAUGAAUAUAAAUAGUUUUUUUUAAUGAAUACUUGUUUUAAUAGGAAUUUUGAUGAAUUAUAAUUGUAUAUAUUUUUCACCCUUUCCUCCGUAAGUUAUUAUAUGGGUGGUUCUGAUACUCGUUUUUUUUCCCAUUUGUAGGUAGAUGUGUCUUCAAGUACUCCCAUCUUGCGGAAGUCAUUGGAAGAAUAAUAAGCCAUGCCAAGGACGGAAGAUUCCAGAUAAUUGAAUACCUUGAUCAAGUAUCUCCGCACGAAUCCAUCGCAUCUGAAGUCUGCCCCGAAACGAGAGAUACCAUCACCUUGGUAAUCAUAAAUUAUUAUAUUUAUACAUUAUAUUUUAAGACUACGAAGGAAUCUAAUUUUUUUCUAUUUUAUUAAUCGGAUUGUCGAGGAAGAUGAAAGUUUUAUUUUGUUUAUCUUUUUGUUUUUUCAGGUUUGUCCAGUUACAGGAGAAUUAAUCGGCGUACCAAUUUGUGAUUGCGCUUCCCCUCACCGUCCCGAUUAUUCUCCAAUACAGGAGCUCAGUGGAGAGACGUCUGAUUCAGACGAGGAAGAUUUCUUUUUUCAAACGCCGGAACCGGAAAACCAGGCGAGACAGAAGGAUAGAUUUUCUGUUUCAAAUCUUGACCCUCUCCUUCUCGGAAGGGCAAUUAGUGUCCUAGCGGAGGAAGGAAGACUGGCCCUGUGCAAAAAAAAACCCUGUUUUAUCAUUGCCAUGCGGGAAACAAGAUAUCACGACCGGAUUAUUGCAGGGAAGACAUCUUUAAACCGGAACAUGUGAAGCUGCGGAUCUACAACUAUAGUAGGGCUACUACGUAUCCAAACA